GACGAACGCUGGCGGCGUGCCUAAUACAUGCAAGUAGAACGCUGAAGAGAGGAGCUUACUCUUCUUGGAUGAGUUGCGAACGGGUGAGUAACGCGUAGGUAACCUGCCUUGUAGCGGGGGAUAACUAUUGGAAACGAUAGCUAAUACCGCAUAACAAUGGAUGACACAUGUCAUUUAUUUGAAAGGGGCAAUUGCUCCACUACAAGAUGGACCUGCGUUGUAUUAGCUAGUAGGUGAGGUAAUGGCUCACCUAGGCGACGAUACAUAGCCGACCUGAGAGGGUGAUCGGCCACACUGGGACUGAGACACGGCCCAGACUCCUACGGGAGGCAGCAGUAGGGAAUCUUCGGCAAUGGGGGCAACCCUGACCGAGCAACGCCGCGUGAGUGAAGAAGGUUUUCGGAUCGUAAAGCUCUGUUGUAAGUCAAGAACGGGUGUGAGAGUGGAAAGUUCACACUGUGACGGUAGCCUACCAGAAAGGGACGGCUAACUACGUG
rnacentral:rRNA from 1 species